UACGUAGGUGGCAAGCGUUGUCCGGAUUUACUGGGCGUAAAGGGCGUGCAGGCGGUUUGUUAAGUGCAGGGUGAAAGCUCCCGGCUCAACUGGGAGAGGUCCUUGCAUACUGGCAGACUUGAGGGAGGCAGAGGAAAGUGGAAUUCCCGGUGUAGUGGUGAUAUGCGUAGAUAUCGGGAGGAACACCUGUGGCGAAGGCGGCUUUCUGGGCCUUGCCUGACGCUGAGACGCGAAAGCGUGGGGAGCGAACCGG
rnacentral:rRNA from 1 species